rnacentral:rRNA from 1 species
AACGAACGCUGGCGGCAUGCCUAACACAUGCAAGUCGAACGAGACCUUCGGGUCUAGUGGCGCACGGGUGCGUAACGCGUGGGAAUCUGCCCUUUGCUUCGGAAUAACAGUUAGAAAUGACUGCUAAUACCGGAUGAUGUCUUCGGACCAAAGAUUUAUCGGCAAAGGAUGAGCCCCGCGUUAAGGAUUUAGGGUAAGUUGGUGGGGUAAAGGCCCUACCAAGCCGACGAUCCUUAGCUGGUCUGAGAGGAUGAUCAGCCACACUGGGACUGAGACACGGCCCAGACUCCUACGGGAGGCAGCAGUGGGAAUAUUGGACAAUGGGCGCAAGCCUGAUCCAGCAAUUGCCGCGUGAGUGAUGAAGGCCUUCGGGUCGUAAAGCUCUUUUACCAGGGAUGAUAAUGACAGUACCUGGAGAAUAAGCUCCGGCUAACUCCGUGCCAGCAGCCGCGGUAAU